UGGGGAAUAUUGCACAAUGGAGGGAACUCUGAUGCAGCGACGCCGCGUGAACGAAGAAGGCUUUCGAGUCGUAAAGUUCUUUUAUAUGGGAAGAUAAUGACGGUACCAUAAGAAAAAGCCCCGGCUAACUACGUGUCAGCAGCCGCGGUAAUACGUAGGGGGCUAGCGUUGUCCGGAAUCACUGGGCGUAAAGGGUUCGCAGGCGGAAAUGCAAGUCAGAUGUAAAAGGCAGUAGCUUAACUACUGUAAGCAUUUGAAACUGCAUAUCUUGAGAAGAGUAGAGGUAAGUGGAAUUUUUAGUGUAGCGGUGAAAUGCGUAGAUAUUAAAAAGAAUACCGGUGGCGAAGGCGACUUACUGGGCUCAUUCUGACGCUGAGGAACGAAAGCGUGGGUAGCAAACAGG
rnacentral:rRNA from 1 species